GAUGAACGCUGGCGGCGUGCCUAAUACAUGCAAGUCGAACGCAUUGUGGUUGAAAUGAUAUGAAGAACUUGUUCAGAUUUGAUUUUCAACAUUGCAAUGAGUGGCGAACGGGUGAGUAACACGUGGGAAACCUACCUCUUAGCAGGGGAUAACAUUUGGAAACAAAUGCUAAUACCGUAUAAUAAUUAAAACCGCAUGGUUUUAGUUUAAAAGAUGGUCUUGCUAUCACUAAGAGAUGGUCCCGCGGUGUAUUAGUUAGUUGGUGAGGUAAUGGCUCACCAAGACAAUGAUACAUAGCCGAGUUGAGAGACUGACCGGCCACAAUGGGACUGAGACACGGCCCAUACUCCUACGGGAGGCAGCAGUAGGGAAUCUUCCACAAUGGACGAAAGUCUGAUGGAGCAACGCCGCGUGUGUGAUGAAGGGUUUCGGCUCGUAAACACUGUGUAAGAGAAGAAUGACAUUGAGAGUAACUGUUC
rnacentral:rRNA from 1 species